ensembl:misc_RNA Metazoa_SRP Metazoan signal recognition particle RNA
GCCGGGUGUGGUGGCGCAGACCUGUAAUCCCAGCUACUCGGGAGGCUGAGGCAGGAGAAUCGCUUGAACCCGGGAGGCGGAGGUUGCAGUGAGCCGAGAUAGUGCCACUGCACUCCACCCUGAGCAACAGAGCGAGACUCUGUCUCAA